rnacentral:rRNA from 1 species
UACAGAGGGGGCAAGCGUUGUUCGGAAUUACUGGGCGUAAAGGGCGCGUAGGCGGCCUUCUAAGUCGAACGUGAAAUCCCCGGGCUCAACCCGGGAACUGCGUCCGAUACUGGGAGGCUUGAAUCCGGGAGAGGGAUGCGGAAUUCCAGGCGUAGCGGUGAAAUGCGUAGAUAUCUGGAGGAACACCGGUGGCGAAGGCGGCAUCCUGGACCGGCAUUGACGCUGAGGCGCGAAAGCCAGGGGAGCAAACGGG